CUCCAGCAUUGUGGUCCUUGGGCCCCUCCGCAUUCCACCCUGGUGUACAGGACCCAAUGGUGUCACAUGCCAUUCUUCUGAUUUUCAUGAAUAUCCUCUAAAAGGCAGCUAAGCACUCGCUGUCUUCUUCCUUUUGCCUCAUCAAGCACGGGGGACGCUGGAAGGAAGAGGUGGGACUGCCAAGAUGAAUAGACAUAAUCCUCGAUCUAACCACUUCACAGUUUAUCAUCGGAGUCAAGUUUGCAGAUAAACAAUUGCCAUGCAACUUUCAAGACAGUUGUUCAUCUGCUUCCAGAAAAUGGUGCCUGAGAUGAGCAAGGUCAGCAGACAAGAAGUGAGGUCAAUGUCAGGUUUCCAUGCCAGCAGCGGGAACUCUGGAUACAGUGGAGAGUCACAGCUGGUCAAACCCUGAACCGCUUGCUCCUUGAAAUGGCCAGAGAGGCCCAUCCCAGAGCCAUCUCAUCAUCUCUCCUCAGACAGGAAACCGAGAAGGAAAACAAUCAGCUCUGUUCUCUCUGGGCCGAGGGAGUGAGCUGUAAUGAGGGAGCACAGGAACGCAUUGGGCGCCCUCAGACCUGAACACACAGGUUAGCACCACCUGCCUGGCUGACCUGGCUCACAGUUGAGAAUAACUCAUCCAGGGUUGUUGAAUGGUGGAGGAUCUUCCAAAAUCAGCAGCUAGGAGGUCGAGAACCCUUCAUGCCAUACUAAGAAGUUUCAUGCUAGGCAAAGAAGAGUGACAAGGUAUUUCAACAGGUGAAUGAUGUGAGUAAAUAUUUGCUUCAAAAAAGUGUAUUGUAAAAAACCAUGUGAGAAGAAAUGGGAACACUAGCAAUGACCUUUGAAGAAUUAUACCUUUGUAUCUGGG
rnacentral:lncRNA from 10 species